rnacentral:rRNA from 1 species
ACUACGAGGUGCUGCAGUCGAGAAUCAUUCACAAUGGGGGAAACCCUGAUGGUGCGACGCCGCGUGGGGGAAUGAAGGUCUUCGGAUUGUAAACCCCUGUCAUGUGGGAGCAAAUUAAAAAGAUAGUACCACAAGAGGAAGAGACGGCUAACUCUGUGCCAGCAGCCGCGGUAAUACAGAGGUCUCAAGCGUUGUUCGGAAUCACGUGGCGUAAAGCGUGCGUAGGCUGUUUCGUAAGUCGUGUGUGAAAGGCGCGGGCUCAACCCGCGGACGGCCCAUGAUACUGGGAGACUAGGGUAAUGGAGGGGGAACCGGAAUUCUCGGUGUAGCAGUGAAAUGCGUAGAUAUCGAGAGGAACACUCGUGGCGAAGGCGGGUUCCUGGACAUUAACUGACGCUGAGGCACGAAGGCCAGGGGAGCGAAAGGGAUUAGAUACCCGAGUAGUC